rnacentral:tRNA from 1 species
UAAGACUUACGGGAAACUAACCCGCAUCUCCUAUAUGCAAAACAGACGCUUUAAUUAAGCUAAAACCUU